rnacentral:rRNA from 1 species
GAUCAUGGCUCAGGAUGAACGCUGGCGGCGUGCCUAACACAUGCAAGUCGAACGAGGUAUUUUGAUUGGAGUUUUCGGAUGGAUUUCAAGAUACCGAGUGGCGGACGGGUGAGUAACGCGUGGGUAACCUGCCUCAUACAGGGGGAUAACGGUUAGAAAUGACUGCUAAUACCGCAUAAGCGCACAGUACCGCAUGGUACGGUGUGAAAAACUCCGGUGGUAUGAGAUGGACCCGCAU